AUACGGAGGGUGCAAGCGUUAAUGGGAUUUACUGGGCGUAAAGCGUGCGUAGGCGGCUUGUUAAGUCAGAUGUGAAAGCCCCGGGCUCAACUUGGGAACUGCAUUUGAUACUGACAGGCUAGAGUAUGGUAGAGGGAAGUGGAAUUCCGCAUGUAGCGGUGAAAUGCGUAGAUAUGCGGAGGAACACCAGUGGCGAAGGCGACUUCCUGGACCAAUACUGACGCUGAGGUACGAAAGCGUGGGGAGCAAACAGGAUUAGAUACCCCAGUAGUCC
rnacentral:rRNA from 1 species